rnacentral:lncRNA from 1 species
GCAAAGCCGGCCGGGUCUCCCGCGGCCCGCCCUUGGGAGGAGGAGCCCGCGGCAUCCACCGGCUCCGCCCCUCCUGCCCUCGCACCGAGGAGCCCGCCCCGGAGGAGGGGCCUGUGGCGCCGGCCAGGAGAAAAACCGAAGCCGAAUCCGAGCUAGUUUGCUGCUGCCGGAUUUGCCUGCUACCUUGGAUGACUUCGGGAGGCUGGCGGCACCGAAGAGGCCUCCUGAGAGCUGGGCCCCUGGCGGAACUCUUAGCCGGUGGCGUGGCCUUAUCUCAGGUUGCUGGACAUGAAGGAGGCCAAGGCUGCUUUGGAAAGUUCCGUGGCCAUAUCUCAAGGAUGUCAUUGUAGGAACUGAUCACUUAGAUACUUCAAAAGUUAUACAGCUCCCCACAAAUACAGCAGGUGCAGUAUUUCCAAAGAAAAGGGAGUUUGGGAGUGGUAAUCUGGUGAGCAGCUGGCCCAGGGAACUGGUCGUGAAGCUCUGUUUGCACAACAGUGUUUUUAUUGGAAUUGUUUGUGGGGAAGGGGCUGCAGUCCCUCCACCUACCCCUUGGCAACCAUCAUGAUGAUGAGGUGUUACUUUGAAUUUGGUUACCUAGAGGCCUAAAUCGAGAUUGGGGUAUAAAGAAUAAUACUUGAGAUGGCUUCCAGCUAACAAAGCCUUUCCACAAAUAUUUUUAUUAUAAUACAGCCAACAUUUUGCUGCAGUCAUUCUUGUGUCAGACUGUAGCUAGGGUAUUAAGGAGCCAGAGUGAGAAAAUACUUUAAAAGCUAACUUUAACCAAUCCCGUGAAAGUAGUAAGGUAGGAUUGAUGUUCUUAUCCUUUUUACAAAUGAGGAAAUUGAGGCUUAGUGAGAUAAUGUGCCUCUCAGUAUAUAUAGAAUGUAAGGCCUGCCCAAUCUGGGAAAGUGUAGACAGUUUAUUAGUGAAAUAUUUACAAAAACGAAAGGCUUAAGGUCCUAGUGGGCCUGAGACUUAAGUAUUUCGCUUACCUUUUUUUGAACGGAAAAUUGAAUAUUUGAACUCUCCAAAGCCAUGGAUACUGGCUUCUCUGGGUAGGUCUGUAUGCACAAUCUAAAGAAGAGUGCAGUAACCAAUAGGAGAACCUCAACUUACAUAAACAUCCACCCCUAAUGGAGUGGAAUGUGAUGUGAUAUACUGGCAUUAAGGAUUGGCUAAGUCCCAUCUAUCUUAAACAAUGCUUAGUUUAAAUAUAUUCUAGGCUGGGCGUGGUGGCUCACACCUGUAAUCCCAGCACUUUGGGAGGCCUAGGCGGGUGGAUUACCUGAGGUCAGAGUUCCAGAACAGGCUGGCCAACAUCAUGAAACCUGUCUCUACUAAAAAUACAAAAAUUAGCCAGGCGUGGUGGCAUGCGCCUAUAAUCCCAGCUACUCGGGAGGCUGAGGCAGGAGAAUCGCUUGAACCCGG